GUUACAAUGAUGAUUUUGAUACCGCCCCAGACUUAUUUCAUCAUGAAUGAUUGGUUUUACUGACUGUU